CUCUUUCUACUAUGCUGUGUGUCAGCCACAGCCUUUUCUCCAGCAGUGACUGUGUCAUUGGGGAUUCACAGAAAUGCAUACUCAGAGGAGCACAGAGCAUUUAGCUUCCAGGACUGUCAUCAUUUGCGCAGGUGCAGGACCACCAGCAGUCAGACUAUGCUCCUGCUUUGAUGAUGUAGUGUGGUUAUGAAGGAAAGUUCUGUACUUCCACAGCUGAAUUCUGAGCUAAAACAAUGGAGAACUUAACAGUUUCUUCAGCCAGCUUGACCCUGGACAUAGGAGAUGAUCCCGACUAGAUAGAGGACAGAGCCAGAUGAAAAAGUGACAUGCCUGGACAAACCAGGGCUGGGUCAGUGGCUGAAGGCCAAGGGGGAUAACAGUAAUAGGCUCGCAAUGCAGUUUUCUAUGUGCAGGGGCUGAAAUUGAAGUGCAACUAUAGUUCUCUAUAUUUAUGUUUUGCCUGGUUGUUCAAUAACUUGCUGAAAUUUUAUGCCAUAAUGUGAACUCAAUUCUGUUCAUCUUAUCACAGUGUUACUUUGCAAAGUCAUAAGUUAAGAGAAAUUCCUCAGGUGCGUUGGGAAAUGAGAGCAACUGACUUCUAAGAGCAUGGAUCCCCACCUCAUGUGUUCAAUGGACAACUCCUUGGGCCUCCUGGGAGAGAUGAACCCAGGGAGCAGUUCCAAGGACAAGAGGACUUUAUUACAUGGCAAGACUUUGGUGCUGGUCUCUUGUGCCAUUCUCUGGAACUUUGCUAAAUCACGUGGAACAGGAGGCCCUUCUUCAGCAUAGGCUCUGCCAGUCCCAACAGCUUCCUUCUCCCUGCAUCACUGGCAGAUUUCUUUUGGGCUUCCCACAAUGAGUGGAGGGGAAGGGGCUUAGAUCCCCAACCUAUAAAGACUAGAGACAGGAGGAGGGGCCAACACCAAGGGAGGGAAUAAGGAGACAGUGUGUACCAGAGGCUGCCCUUUCUCAGCUUCCUUCAACUCUCCUUCCUCAUGGGUAAAAGGAUGUCCACAGAGACUGAUGUUCCAGCUUCUGUGUCUACUGUGGUGGGCGCUGCAGCACUGGGCACGGUUCUAAGGCCAAGCAUUUUACAGCAACACUGUUCCUUCUUGGAGUUGUUGCUAGCCCCGAGUCUUCAGCAAAUGAGGGCCAUCAUCAUCUUCUAAUGGAAGAGUCACAGGCUAAGAUCCCUCUCACAUGUGAGAAAAAUGCAAGCUGCUAUGGAUUGAACUGUGUCUACUCAAGAAUUAUAUGUUAAUGAACCUCAGAUUGUGAACUUGUUUGGAGGCAGGGUCAUAACAGAGGUAAUCAAGUUAAAAUGAGGUCAUCAGAGCGGGCCCUAAUCAAAUAUGACAGAUGUCCACAUCAGAAGGGGAAAUUUGGACACAGAGACACACACACAGGGAGUACACCACAUGAAGACGAAGCCAGAGAUUGAGUGAUACAUCGUCAAGCUAAGGAACACCAAAGACUGCCAGCAAACCACAAGGAGCAAGGGGUGCGGCGUGGAGCAGAUUCUCCCUCACAGGCCUCAGGAGGAACCAGCUCUGCUGACGACUUGAUUUUGGACUUUUAGCCUCCAGAUGAAACGUAUGAGACAAUAAAUUUCUGUUGUUU